rnacentral:rRNA from 1 species
GAUGAACGCUGGCGGCGUGCCUAAUACAUGCAAGUCGAGCGAACAGACGAGGAGCUUGCUCCUCUGACGUUAGCGGCGGACGGGUGAGUAACACGUGGAUAACCUACCUAUAAGACUGGGAUAACUUCGGGAAACCGGAGCUAAUACCGGAUAAUAUAUUGAACCGCAUGGUUCAAUAGUGAAAGACGGUUUUGCUGUCACUUAUAGAUGGAUCGGCGCCGCAUUAGCUAGUUGGUAAGGUAACGGCUUACCAAGGCAACGAUGCGUAGCCGACCUGAGAGGGUGAUCGGCCACACUGGAACUGAGACACGGUCCAGACUCCUACGGGAGGCAGCAGUAGGGAAUCUUCCGCAAUGGGCGAAAGCCUGACGGAGCAACGCCGCGUGAGUGAUGAAGGUCUUCGGAUCGUAAAACUCUGUUAUUAGGGAAGAACAAAUGUGUAAGUAACUAUGCACGUCUUGACGGUACCUAAUCAGAAAGCCACGGCUAACUACGUG